CCCAUGUUUAAUGCAAACUCGAGUUCGGGCAGCGCCAGACGCCGUCUUUCACACGCCGGUAAUACACACCAAAAAUCGACCAUUUAAUUACCCAAUCAACCACCGAACCUCAGCCCCGCACGCCUAAAAAACUAGCUUCGGAGUCAGGUUCGGAAACCAAAAGCGACCGUGCCUCGAAAAAAGCCAAGCCACCAAAGGAAAUAAUGAGCUAGACAGAGAGAGAGUAAAAAAAGAGACUCCGUUUCUAGAGGGAGAAAGAGACGCAGAAACAGCGAGGUUUUUAGAGAGAGACAUUAGAGAUGGGACAGAUCGUGAAGAGGAAGAAGAAAGGAAGACCAUCCAAGGCAGAUCUAGCUCGGCGGUCGUCGGGGCAGAACCCAGAGCCUACUGAACCUCAUCGGCGGCGAAGUCUACGGCGCCGGAAUGUGAGGUAUAACAAUUUUAUCGACUACGAUGAUUACCUGGACGACUUCGA
rnacentral:misc_RNA from 1 species